rnacentral:rRNA from 1 species
GAUGAACGCUGGCGGCGUGCCUAAUACAUGCAAGUCGAGCGGUAACACUUCGGGUGACGAGCGGCGGACGGCUGAGUAACGCGUAGGAACAUACCCCAAAGUGAGGGAUAAGCACCGGAAACGGUGUCUAAUACCGCAAGUGGUCUUCGGAUUAAAGCUUCGGCGCUUUGGGAAUGGCCUGCGUAUGAUUAGCUUGUUGGUGAGGUAAUGGCUCACCAAGGCGACGAUCAGUAGCUGGUCUGAGAGGAUGAUCAGCCAGACUGGGACUGGGAACGGCCCAGACUCCUACGGGAGGCAGCAGUAGGGAAUUUUCCACAAUGGACGAAAGUCUGAUGGAGCAACGCCGCGUGCAGGAUGAAUGCCUUCGGGUUGUAAACUGCUUUUCUCUGUGACGAUUAUGACGGUAGCAGAGGAAUAAGGAUCGGCUAACUCCGUGCCAGCCGCCGCAGUAA